UUCUAAUUCUAUUUAGGCCUACUAUCAACUUAAACAAUAUGUUAUCAAGUGUCAGGACAAGUUUAUAAUUUUAUGUACUAUGUAAACGCUGUGUAAUGUGUUUGAUGGGCGCGCGCGUUGAACAUUCGACGCGCAUUUAAACUGGAGAGGAGGGAGUUACCAUGGAAACGGGGCGGCAACUCAGCUGAUAAGUAGCAAAUCUCUCCGUCCCUAACUGAUGUUUUUACUGCUUUCAGAAAUGGUUCAGUGUCAUGGGAAUAAGUCUGUUAGCAUCACAACCGUGAGCUAACAGAGGCUAACUAUAAGAGCAGAGUUGGAGUGGACCUCUUGUUGAAGAACUUCUCCAGGCACUAUGAACCAUCUGACUAUCCUGUAUGUCUUACAAGGCCAUCCUGUUUAACACUGCACUGAGGACACUACAACCAGAGAGGUACAACAUAAUUUAAAAUGAGACACAGAUGAUAAUAAAAAAGUGCUUUGAAAUGAAAAUGAAUACUGGUAAGACAGCACCGAGUACUGUGACUGUGCCUCACUUCAAAGUGAAACAGUCUGUAAUGGUCAUCUGCCAUGCCAGAUCGAUGGUGAAGGUGGGAAUUAUAAGUAUUUUAUAAACUUUAAAUGUAGUAAAGUGUUUGUUCAAGUAGACUUUGUUGCUUGUGGAAACCUCACACAAGCCUGAAAGGUGCUUUAAACCUAAAAUCUUAUUUGCACUCUUGAAAACUGUUCACCAAAGACUAAAUUUCAGUCCAGCAGAAUUUUCUGCACACUUCACCACCAAGAUCAAAAUGAGCAUUGUGAAUGUAAAAGCUUCACAUUACAUUUAUAACCACCAUUGUUAAUAUUUGAAUUAUAUUGAAUUAUAUUAUGCCUUGAUAGUGGACAAUACCGGAUUUUUUGACCAAACAUAUUUAGGGUUCAGAUUGCGCUAUACGUGGAGAAUAAUGCACAUUUAAAAAAAAAAAAAAAAAAAAGGCAUUUAUCAGUUUUUGCAAAUGAACUUUUCACACUUGCCAUACUCCAACAGUGUGAACGCACUGACCAAACAAAACAAAAUUGGUGGCAGUGUGAAAUGACCAUAAUGCUGUAUGUUAGGUGUGAGAUUCAUUAAACUUGGUUUGCUAUAAUACAUCUAUUCAGAAGUGCACCAGUGUGAAUCAUAAUUUCCCCCACAUUUGCUGUAUAUCCAUAAAGUCAUAUCUAUUGCCGCGUUUCCGCCGAAAAUUACCUGGAACAAUUGUACCAGGAACUUUUUUCCCCAGGAACUAUUUUCCCUCACAGACCUGUUGCUUUCAGCGUUUCCACCGCGGUCUAAAGUACCGUGAAGAUUAGGCAAAUAGUCUGGUGACGUAAGCCUGCGCGUGUUUCUCAAUACAGAGUAUGCAAGUUUUGGACUUGCAUCCUCGGUAGUUCGGACCUUGCGAGUUCGACUCGGGAGUGUGAUCUCCCGUGGAUGAAACGACGCAAGUCUGGUAAUUCUGCAAACAACAGCGUACUUAACAUCAGUCAGCUCGCCUUGGCUACUGCAAUUUUCCUCACUGUAUAUGUACAAUAAGAUGAAAUAGGCUAUGAUAUCAAAUACCACUGCCUCCUUUCGUUUUCAUUUAAACAUAAUAAUAGCCGCAGAAAUGUACUUUGUUUAGGGAAAUGUGUAUAUAUAUACAGCCUACAAUACAAUGAAAUGAAAUAUUAUAUCAAUUUCCUUUUUAUUUUCAUUUUAAAGGGUUAGUUCAGCCAAAAAUUAAAAUUAUGUCAUUAAUGACUCACCCUCAUGUCGUUCCAAACCCGUAAGACCUCCGUUCAUCUUCGGAAAAACAGUUUAAGAUAUUUUAGAUUUAGUCCAAGAGCUUUCAGUCCCUCCAUUGAAAAUGUAUGUACGGUAUACUGUCCACGUCCAGAAAGGUAAUAAAAACAUCAUCAAAGUAGUCCAUGUGACAUCAGAGGGUCAGUUAGAAUUUGUUGAAGCAUCGAAAAUACAUUUUGGUCCAAAAAUAACGACUUUAUUCAGGAUUGUCUUCUCUUCCGGGUCUGUUGUGAGCGCGACUGCUGUGGCUGUUGACGUAGGACGCUGCUGACAUGUUUUCUGGUGUGCCCAAUAACAAAGAUAACACGUCAGCAGCGUCGUACGUCAACUGUCACAGCAGUCAGUCGCACAAUUGAAUGAAGACCAAAGAUUACCUGUUAGAUUUACACAAAACUAAUUAUAUUUUAAGUUUAACCACUAAAGAGACAUCAGAGCCAGCGGCACAUAUCAGAAGGACUAGCCGAGUUGAGACUGCUCUAGGCGGAUACAUGAGCAAUGAGCUCCCACUGAUCACGUGGAGCUGACCGUAAUCCGAAAUCGUCCGAAAUCGGUGAAACACAUUUUUAAAUAGGCGCUGUCUUUAUAAAUAAACCACAGAUUUGAGUUUUCAACAACUACGUUCUCACCUGAAAUACUUUUAAAACUACAUUUCAUGAUACAAUAACAGUAAUAUUUUGAAAAUUAUCCGAAUAAAUGGUGGUUGAAAUCACAAUGCUGCGUGAACUCAACCAAUCAGCAUGUUUAGCGCUCAAGUCCCGCCCCCGAAAGUUCCGGACCUUUGAAAAAGUACUACCUCGUGAGCAGGGACUUUCUGAGGGGCAUUUUUCUACCCGGAACUUUAUUUAGAUCCUGGUUCCUGCUGUGGAAACACACCGAGUACAGCCCAAAGUCCCUAGUUCCUGGGUAAAGUUCCAGCGGUGGAAACGCGGCUUAUGUCCUAGUCUUCUUUCAGUGAUUAAGAUCCAAUAUUUUUUUAUGACGCACACAAGUUUCGGAGGCAUUGUGUAAACGUGAUUGACACAACGUGAGGUCGUAUUUAUUUUUUAAUGUGUGAAAAUAUCUGACUAUAGUGUGCAGUGACCUUAAGGGUUAAGGGUACAAACACUUGACCAGAAUCAUGUCAAGUAACAACUGACUAAUCCAAAUGUUUUUUAUCUUCUUUCUUGUUUUUUUUUUUGUUUUGCAGAUGCUGUCAUGAAACGCCAUGAAAAGGCAACUGCUGGACACCUGGGACAGGCCAUCAAUUCCAAGUUGGCGGAACUGAGGUUUCAACUGAAGAAAAAGGAGAGCCUGUUAGAGUUUAGAGUUGUCUAAUAGAGAGGGUGAAGGAAGAACAUCCAAACCCUGCCCCUGCUUCCUUUUUUUAUGGAUUUAUAUAAUGGUGUUUUUUCGUAAAGUAAAGAGAGUGGCAAAAUUAACAUGACCCUACUUUGAUGUUUUGUUCUACAAAUUAAACCACACACACACUCCAACAACACCAAUUUUGAUACAAUUUGCAUUUGCAAGAAUUUUUUUUUUAAUUUUGCCACUGCCUUUACUUUACGAAAAAAAAACACCAUUAUAUAAAUCCAUAAAAUCUUGAAGAAAUCAGGGGCAGGGUUUGGAUGUUCUUCUUUCACCCUCUCUAUAAGACAACUCUAAAAUUGUUUUUUUUUUUAACAGACUUUAUUUAAUUAAUUAAAACUUCUCCAAGAAUUACUUUUCAGGUUUUAGCAUCAUCCUUUAGUAUUCAUAAUAGCAAUUUCAGUAAAGUUGCUGGUUUGAUUUAUGUUUUAACUGUGCAGUUUAUGUGCAUUCUGUUCUUUUGCCAAUGUCAAUAAUAUUUUUAUUUUUCUAUAGUAGGUGUUAUGUCAUCUGAAUAUACUGCUCAUUUUUGCAAGUGAAUUUAUACUGUCACAGUUUUUAAGUUGCAUUGUCUGGGGAUUUGUAAAUUUUUUUCAGUCUCCAAUUUCUGUUCAGUAUUUGAAUGUUUAAAUUCAUAUAUAUACAUAUUACAUUUCAG
ensembl:lncRNA